GGGGAAUAUUGCACAAUGGGCGCAAGCCUGAUGCAGCGACGCCGCGUGAGGGAUGGAGGCCUUCGGGUUGUGAACCUCUUUCGCCAGUGAAGCAGGCCUGUCCCUUUUGUGGGUGGGUUGACGGUAGCUGGAUAAGAAGCGCCGGCUAACUACGUGCCAGCAGCCGCGGUAAUACGUAGGGCGCGAGCGUUGUCCGGAAUUAUUGGGCGUAAAGAGCUCGUAGGCGGCUGGUCGCGUCUGUCGUGAAAUCCUCUGGCUUAACUGGGGGCUUGCGGUGGGUACGGGCCGGCUUGAGUGCGGUAGGGGAGACUGGAACUCCUGGUGUAGCGGUGGAAUGCGCAGAUAUCAGGAAGAACACCGGUGGCGAAGGCGGGUCUCUGGGCCGUUACUGACGCUGAGGAGCGAAAGCGUGGGGAGCGAACAGGAUUAGAUACCCUGGUAGUCCACGCCGUAAACGUUGGGCACUAGGUGUGGGGGGCCUUUUCCGGGUCUUCCGCGCCGUAGCUAACGCAUUAAGUGCCCCGCCUGGGGAGUACGGCCGCAAGGCUA
rnacentral:rRNA from 1 species